GUUCCAAAUUCAUGAUUUGAUUCUUACAACUCUAAAUGGGCUAAGAUCUCUUAAAAUUAUGAAUCAAAUUUUUAAGUUUGUUUAUGCUUUGAUAAUCUUUUUUUCUUUAUUUCUUGUUGUAACCAAUGCUGGUCUUUUCCGCUGCAAAGUUGACAUUGAUUGUCCACAAAUAUUAUGUUUCGAGAAACAAAUAGCGAAAUGCAUUGAUCGUAUGUGUGAGUGUGUAAAUUGCCAAGUGCAUUGAUCGUAUGUCCACAAAUAUUUUUAUGUUUCUAUCAAAAUUUCGUUUAUGUUUCUUUGAUA